rnacentral:rRNA from 1 species
GACGGGUGAGUAACACGUGGGUAACCUGCCUGUAAGACUGGGAUAACUCCGGGAAACCGGGGCUAAUACCGGAUGGUUGUUUGAACCGCAUGGUUCAAACAUAAAAGGUGGCUUCGGCUACCACUUACAGAUGGACCCGCGGCGCAUUAGCUAGUUGGUGAGGUAACGGCUCACCAAGGCAACGAUGCGUAGCCGACCUGAGAGGGUGAUCGGCCACACUGGGACUGAGACACGGCCCAGACUCCUACGGGAGGCAGCAGUAGGGAAUCUUCCGCAAUGGACGAAAGUCUGACGGAGCAACGCCGCGUGAGUGAUGAAGGUUUUCGGAUCGUAAAGCUCUGUUGUUAGGGAAGAACAAGUACCGUUCGAAUAGGGCGGUACCUUGACGGUACCUAACCAGAAAGCCACGGCUAACUACGUGCCAGCAGCCGCGGUAAUACGUAGGUGGCAAGCGUUGUCCGGAAUUAUUGGGCGUAAAGGGCUCGCAGGCGGUUUCUUAAGUCUGAUGUGAAAGCCCCCGGCUCAACCGGGGAGGGUCAUUGGAAACUGGGGAACUUGAGUGCAGAAGAGGAGAGUGGAAUUCCACGUGUAGCGGUGAAAUGCGUAGAGAUGUGGAGGAACACCAGUGGCGAAGGCGACUCUCUGGUCUGUAACUGACGCUGAGGAGCGAAAGCGUGGGGAGCGAACAGGAUUAGAUACCCUGGUAGUCCACGCCCGUAAACGAUGAGUGCUAAGUGUUAGGGGGUUUCCGCCCCUUAGUGCUGCAGCUAACGCAUUAAGCACUCCGCCUGGGGAGUACGGUCGCAAGACUGAAACUCAAAGGAAUUGACGGGGGCCCGCACAAGCGGUGGAGCAUGUGGUUUAAUUCGAAGCAACGCGAAGAACCUUACCAGGUCUUGACAUCCUCUGACAAUCCUAGAGAUAGGACGUCCCCUUCGGGGGCAGAGUGACAGGUGGUGCAUGGUUGUCGUCAGCUCGUGUCGUGAGAUGUUGGGUUAAGUCCCGCAACGAGCGCAACCCUUGAUCUUAGUUGCCAGCAUUCAGUUGGGCACUCUAAGGUGACUGCCGGUGACAAACCGGAGGAAGGUGGGGAUGACGUCAAAUCAUCAUGCCCCUUAUGACCUGGGCUACACACGUGCUACAAUGGACAGAACAAAGGGCAGCGAAACCGCGAGGUUAAGCCAAUCCCACAAAUCUGUUCUCAGUUCGGAUCGCAGUCUGCAACUCGACUGCGUGAAGCUGGAAUCGCUAGUAAUCGCGGAUCAGCAUGCCGCGGUGAAUACGUU